rnacentral:lncRNA from 1 species
CAGCAAAAAGCAGAGAAAGGAGGAAUUCACUCCUUUUGCUCCUGUCUCACUGCUUAAGCAGGGACAUCUCUUCUGAACUAUGCCAUCAGCUUUCCUGAGUCUCCAGUUUAUAGGCAGCACAUCAUGGGACUUCUCAGCCUCCAUAAUCCCGAAUACAAAAUACAUCCACCAAAUGGAUACCAUGUACCUGAGGAUUCAUGAAUCUGCCCUAGCAACAGUCCUGCAUCUGGUUUUGAGCACACUUUUUGCAAAUGGAGCUACUACUUGACUGAGCUCGGGUAGUCCACCUUGAUACAGAACAGAGAGGGAGCUUGUGCAAAUUCACAGAGAAAACUGUGGAGCCAGAAAAGACAUACUGUUCUUUCCAAUAUGAUGUGGAAGUCUGAAAGAUUAGGAAUUGUUUGGUAAGAAAAAAAUAUACAUAGCUAUUUGUGGAUGACAAUGCCCUGACACUGUUCCUCCUUUCUGUCCUUGGUUGGGGGCCUGCCUCAUUUCUCAUUGAGGGGAAUUCCUUCAUCAGGACCUGCUACGCUAAUGGUCACGGACCAAUGUUCUUUUUGCUGUUUGAACAGAAUGCUUGCCUUGUGUAUGUCCAGUCACAAAGUUCCCUUGAUAAAAACCAUAUGAAAAUACCACAAAGCCAAAGGGCAAUAAAUAUUGUUACAUAGA